ACACCGUUGGUGAAGUGGUUAUCAUGCUUGCCUUCCACGACUAUAUGUACUACUACAUGUUCCCAUCGUGAGCAAGCGGCUCGGGUUCGAUUCCCGAACGGUGUA